GGCUCUGUGGCCCAAUGGAUAGCGCAUUGGACUUCUAGGGGAAAGAACAAAUUCAAAGGUUGUGGGUUCAAAUCCCAUCAAAGUCG
rnacentral:tRNA from 1 species